CAAUUAUUAAGCUAGCUAGAUAUCAGCUACACAACCUACCUUAAAUUUGAAAGUACCGCGUUUGGAUGUAAGGAACGUGCAAAUCACCGCGAGGAGCAACGGAGCGUCAAAAACCCGCCCAGCGGAGCUUUGGUAUUAGUCUGAACGUGCUAUUUGUGAAUACACACCAGAGUGAGAGGAGGUGCUCAAACUACUGCUUAUAAGCUGCUUCCACUAGAAAAAGACAAGAGGAGGGUUUGGGUGUGACGUUAAGAUGAACCUCCGAGACGUGACUGUGGACUUCUCAGCCAAGAGAAAGGAAUGGCUUGUCCUCAGUUAAACACAUGGAGGCCAGGUGGAGAGCAGGACACAGAGGAGAGGAGCUCGGCCAGUCACCGAGAGAGGGGACAGAGACGGGGGAGAGAGAGAGAGAGAGAGCGAGAGAGCGAGAGAGAGAGAGAGCGAGAGGGGGGGGGGAGCGCUGGACCUGCUUCUGGCUCACACUGAAGAGUACAGUUCAGGUAUCCUCCUCCUCUUCAGUGAGACACACACACACACACACACACACACACACACACACACACACACUCUUACACACGUCCGGCCAGGUGGACACAGUCUCGCUCUCUCACACGGCAUAUGCACUCGUCAUAAUUGUGGAGAUGCACUGAGCCACACUGAUGUAGAACGAAAAGCCCACAGUGACGGCAGGCCAGCCAGAGAGAAAGAGAGAGAGACCGAGAGAGAGAGAGAGGGAGAGGGAUCAGUAUAAUACUCUGAGUGUCACUGAUGACUCAAAGUACCACUCCCCACCCCAUUUCCUCUAUUCGUCCUAACUCGCUACGUUCCUGCUGUA